ACUUUAAAUCGUACAGGGAACGGGCUCCCCAAGAAAGGGAACGUCUGAAAAGAUUUAAAGGAAGUACUCUUCAAGACAGAAGAGACAUGGAUAUUGUUUUAGGGCCCAGGAAGGAGACAGGAUUCACCUGAAGAGGCUGGGCCAGAGCAGUGAGCCGGCCAUGUGCUUCCAGGGACUGCAAGCAUUGACAUCACCUGCAGCAGCUGCUUGCCACUUUUUCCUUCUGUUGGGCACCAGGUUUCCACGUGCUGCUGGACCAUAGUUUGAGACUACACACCCCCAUCUGGACCCUAUUAAAAUGCAUCUCUUGACCAGUCACAGGAGGAGCCUGGGAGGGGGAGGAGAAGUCAAGGGAGAGGAGAAGUCAAGACAAGUUGACCUCAAAGGUACCACGGAAAAGUAAUGAUUAACACUGCUGCAGUCUGGGAACAGUUUAUUCAACUGCGGUGACGGAAACAAGGAGAAAGCCCUUCCUCAAACCCCUCGGCAAAAUCUGCUUUCCACUUCUGACUGAUGGUGGGAAGAAGAAAGACGCUGCAUUUGGAAGGACUGUCAGAAUCAAAUAUGUCUGAAAUCUUAAAUGCUUCUCAGUGUCUGUUUUGUGAUUUUUAAAAUUUUGUUUACAAAAGCUUUUCUCUUUCCUCCCCCUCUCUCCUUCUCUCUCCUUCCUCCCUUCCUUCCUUCCUUUCAGUGAAAAGAGGAAAGGAUAACAAAAUAUUGCUCAUUUGGGAAAGGUAACAAUAGAAAGCCAGCAAAAACUGCAUCUGGAUCCACCUUCCAAUGCAGGGGAUGUGGGUUCGAUCCCUGGUUGGGGACCUAAGAUCCCUCAUGCCACGGAGCACCUGAACCAGCACGCUGCAACCACGGAGACUGCAUGCCACAACUAGAGAGUCUGUGCGCAGCAAGGAGUAUCUCAAGGGCUGCAACUGAGAUCUGACACAGCCAAAUAAACAAAUAAAUAAUUAAAAAGAGAGAAGACUCUGCACCUGGGAGUAAGGGGAGAGCUUCCCCUUCCAUGACCGAGUGGAAGCCUAGAAUGUCAAAAUAAGGAGGGGCCUCAGGGAUCGUCCUGACUCAUCUUCUCAAAGAAGAUGGACCCAAAGGUUGAUCUCUCGCACAGGACUCUUCAUCACAGCACUGCCACUUCCUCUGCUCCAGGCUGGAAGCAGGCUGGGCAGAGCUUGUUAGGCAAUGUCAUGAGUUUUGCUGCAGCUCUCUCUGAAGCAGGGGUGACAUGACACGUUUGAACCUCUGAGCUAGAGCAUCCUCUGGAUCAUGCUGAGACUUGGUCAGCUUGGGCGGACAGGGUGGUUGAGAGUUUUGCACUCCAACUAUGUGCUGGGGUCUAAAAGUCCACUGUUUUAUGGAAGAGACUUGGAGACAGUAACUCAGGAGAAGAUCAAACAGAGAAGACUCCAGGUACGGAGUGCACACUGGCCCUCUGUGAGCAGAACGAGGGGACUGUGCUUUGCACACGGCACUACCUACAGGCCUGGAAAUACUGCUGUUGCUCCACCAGCACUUAGCUCCUCCCCACUGGCAGCCCAGUGUUGGAGAAAGUAUUUCCAAGCCACACAGACCUGUUUCCUAGCUAUGUGACAGAGAGUUGCUUUCUUCCUCUGAGUCUCAGUUUUCUUAUCUAUAAAAACAUGCCUUGCAGGGUUAUUCCAGGGUUAAACAAGACAGGAAGUGGAAAGGACCGCCAGGGAGGGCCUCAACCCAUGAUGCCUUCUACCAGGCUUCUUUAAGAACCAACCAGAAGAAAAACAUCUCAAGACAACAAGUAUCCUGUUCCAAAGAAUUAGAACAGAUCACCAGGAAUUUUGCACUUAAGAUCUUAUUUGUGGCAAAGGUAAGCCUAGGGUUCUUCUUAGAAUCAAGAGAUUGAGUGGAUUUUGGAGACAAUCUGACCUGAUGACUCCUUUCCAUGCAUUACUGGGAGUAGAUCAUUGGAGAGCUGAGUGUCAGCCAUUAUUCCGAGGCACCUUCAGAGGGAGAUUCCACCCAGCUGCCCGACUCAGUGUCCCACAGUCUCUGUAGUUCAGAGUUCUUCCCAGUGUCUUACUUAAAACCUCUCCUGCUUCAGCAUAAAUUGUUCCGUCUUCUCAGAGUGAGGGAGCCCUGCCAUGAGACAGAUGGCUUGAACUACAAAGCAAGUCUGCUAGCUGCUUCACUGGCC
rnacentral:lncRNA from 1 species